GAAACUGUGGGGGAAAGUAUGGCCAGCAUCAGCUGCUGCCUUGCUAAUGGAUAGCCAGAAAGGGCUGUGUGGGCUCUCAGUUCAGGCUUGGAUUCUGGAGGCUAGGGUCAGCAUGCUUUCCUUCCUCCCUGGCUGGACUUGACCU